GACAGAGGAGCCAAGCGUUGUCCGGACUGACUGGGCGUAAAGCGCACGCAGGCGGUGCGCCAAGUGGGGUGUGAAAGCGCUCGGCUCAACCGAGCGAGGCCAUCUCAGACUGGCGCACUCGAGCGCUGCAGAGGGUGGUGGAAUUGCCGGUGUAGUGGUGAAAUGCGUAGAGAUCGGCAGGAACACCGAGGGGGAAGCCAGCCACCUGGGCAGCCGCUGACGCUGAGGUGCGACAGCGUGGGGAGCGAACUGG
rnacentral:rRNA from 1 species